CGCGCGAGCGGCCGUUGGUAACGGUCGCGGGGCGGCGAGGGCGUGAGGUAACUGACGGACCGAGGGCCCCGAGCGGCCUCAAAACCCCCCGAGCCGCCUCAAAACCCCCCGAGCCGCCUCAAAACCCGCGCCCGGCCCCAGCCCGAGAGUCGGUGCAGGAGGAAGGGACUGCCGUCCUGGGCGCUGAGCGUGGAGCCUGAUGCUUUGGGCCAGUCUGUGGCUGCUGGAGCAGAAGGGGAGCAGUCAUUUAAGCACGAGGAAGUACGUCGUCCAGCCGGCGAGCAGCAGUGCUCCAACCAGCACUGUGUAGCUGAACAGCACGAAGGCCAGCAGCUCCCUCAGGACCUUGAGGAAGUGGAUGGCAAAGGAGUCCGGCAUGGUUCUCCCCAGCACCACGGGGCAGGCAGCGCUGUUGACGUGCAUGUGGCCAGUUUAAGAUUUAUCUGUUGCUGCCUCUGCUAGAAGAAGCCCAGUGAAUGUCUUGGCCAGACAGUGGACUUGCGUGUGACCGAGGGGUAGGUAACCACAACAGCGUGGCGCAGGCUAAGCAGGCCCUGCAGGAGCACUUCUCUGGCUGCCUCAGAGCCCUGUGGUUUCCGAAGGGGGACUGAGGACAUGUGGCAGCAGAAUUGUAGAGCCUCGUAGAGCAGCUGGGGCCGAAAGGAGCCUGCUUGCUUACUCUUUCUGUUUCAGUUUGGUACUUGGUGAAUUGUGUGUCGUUUGUUUUUUGUCUUCAAGCUGUAUCUAAUCAUAUGCAGUAAAAAAGUUACUGCUUCCCCUUUGCAGUGGUUAUCUUUCUCUUGUACAAUGAGUGUUCAAGGAUGUGAGAAAAUUUGGCUGCUGUGGCCAUGGCCCUUUUAGGUUCCUGUUGAUGUGACUGUGGUGGAACUAGAAACAGAAAUUCCUCAGCUUUUAGCAGAAAGAUGAAAGCAGGACAGACCUUUCCAGCAAAAUUAUAAUGUUGCAAGUUUUAGCCAUGGUAGGAAAUGCUAAUAGCGAAGCGUUACAGUUUUACAUUUUAUUUUAGUAAAGUGAUGCUCUGAUAUUGGGGGAAAGAACUUCAAAAAAUAGCAGAGGCACCCUGUGGAAGCUUUUCAAAGCACAGGUUCAGCUGCACCCAGUCUGUGACAGGAACAGAUCCAGCACAUUGAUGGAAUUAUCAGGCAACAGCAACGGACAGGAAAUAAUGGCCAUCCCGCCCCCGAGCUUCUCAGGAAGGCAAACUCAGAAUGUCCUAAACCUAAAAUAAACGUAGCUGGUUUAGAGGAGAAACCUGCUGGGCACAGAACUGGCCUGGAGCCCAGAGGUGCAGACUCCACUGCCAGCUGAGGAGUCUCUACAGGAUUUGCUUAGUACUAGGAGAGCGAUGCUGACCUUUGUUGUAAGGUAAUGUUACUUAUUAAACUCACAGCGUAAGGGUGGGGUUUAUUUUAGUUCACUGAUGAGAAGUUAAAGAAAUGUACAACUCCACAGUAUUUUCAAUACAAAUGGUGCUGUUCAUUAAUAGCAGGCUGAAUAUGUGAUUGGAAGCUUUAAAGAGGCCCAAAAGCUAUCUGUCAAAAACAGGCAGAUCUAAUACUGUAGGGAGACAGGGAGAGGAGACAGAUGCCUGCACUCUGCCGGCCUCCAUUUCUGUUUGCCUCAUUCCAGCCUAGCAGAGAUGCACAUCCCUUUGAAAAAUGGGAAAAUGAA